GCCUGGGUGGCUCAGCCAGUUAAGCGUCUGACUUCGGCUCAGGUCAUGAUCUCGCAGUUCGUGGGUUCGAGCCCCGUGUCGGGCU
rnacentral:tRNA from 1 species